ACCGUGAUCACGAAGGCGGUUCCUCCGGAGUGAGGCUUGGCCAUUGCACUGCGGCUGAGUUGACCUCUGCGAUUAUUCCUAAUGUGAAUAACUCGUGCGUGUAAUUUUUGGUAGCCGGGAAUGGCGUUCGCGCCGUCCCGACAUUUUACAAUAAAUUUAAAUGGCUGAGAAAACAUUUUAUUUUCGUUUUCUACUGCAACUUGAAUCGUCUGGCCUGAGUUCAAAUCCCACUCAUGACCAACUGAUUUUAGUGGCUUAUUUUUAAAUUUUGGCCAAAAAUUAAAUUUUUUUCUGCUGUUUUUGAAACCGAAACUAAAUCUUUCGCUAUGAAAGCCGCCUGAACAAGGGAACAUUCUGAUGAAUCGAGAUUUUCUACGAUAGAAGGCAAUGGAUUCCAUCACCAUAUUAUUAUUAAACUUCAUUCUAGGCAGUCAACACUAAAUAAUGCUCCAAUGACUCUAAGAAACUAGCGACCUGACUUGAAUGGAUGGCACAGGAAUGGUCGGCGUUUGUUUGGACUUCAGGCUUUGAGGCUCAGCCCAUGUCCUCCAGUUAGAGCAGAAGACGAUCCAUUGAAGCCAGUGCUCUGUGGACGAGAGACUGAGUCUUUCUUCCAAUCUAUUAGUUCCUAAUAGAGAGGAUUGCUUGGCAGGACUCCUCGUGCCACAAGUUAAGCGGAACGAACGGAUCUUGGUGGAUGAAUGCCUUAAAAGCAAGCAUGGUCCAUGGUCCUACGAUUCGGAAAUGUUUCAAACGUCUCGGAACUUAUAAUAAUUUCGAAAUAUGUCCAGCGGUCCAGAGAAAACAAUCUCAAGGGAAACAGCAUCCCAUCCCCAUAGUUUCUUCAAUCAAUUAAACACAUCGGUUAUGCAUCAUGAAUUCAAGGAAUUCUUUUGUCCACCCACAAUCGAAGACUAUGCUUUCCCAUUAAUCAAUAAACACUCGUUCUGUUGUUUGUUUUUUUUAUCGUG